CGAAAAGAGACGAGUGUGCACGAACUGGCAACAAGCUCGUCCAGCAACCGGUCAAUAAGACGAUUAGCGCAGCCUCGGCUAUCCAUGUUCAUACUGAAAUUCUUUUGUUUAUAAUUCAAGUAAAUUUACAUACAUCUUAUAAUUUCAUUUUCUUUUAAGGUAAAUUGCUAGCUAAGGGAUUGACAUUGUAAUGUUCAGUAUUAGAAUGAAACUAAUCGAUGGGCAUAAUGGUAUUUUACUAUUCGCUUAUCAUAUAGCCUAAGUAGCUAAUUUAAGCAAUUUAAAAGUAACAAAAUUUUAGGAUGAGACAAUAAUAUGUAUGAUAAAAAAUAUUUAUAUUGACUAGCACGGCAUACUUAUUAAAUACUUUCAAGGCCACGGAUGUAAUAAGUCAAAUCGGACGCAUAAGAUAGUUUAAAUCUAAUAAUGUUUGGUCUUAUUAGGGUCCCUUUUUGCCUAAUACAGCAAAUGUGUUAGGUACCCAGACUUCACUUCACAUAAGAAAAUAUUAUAAAUUUAAGAGAUUAGAUAGCUAUAGGCCCGGUAGUUUUGCCAAUUCAAAUGGCUCAUUACUGCGAGACCAACACUUGUAUGUUUGGUUCCAGGUUCAGAUUUCAAUUUGGAGUAUAGGUUCCGUCUCUUUUUAAUGGAUUUUUUAAGGGUUUGUAAGCCAAACUCUAACGAAGAAUAUCAGCUACGUGAUGCCCAAGUUAUUCCUCAAUACUACAACGCGACUCAACUAUUAUAUUUAUAAACUACUUGC